CCCCCUCUUCGCCCGGCCGCCGGCUUCGACGACGGACGCGCUGCUAGGAAGAGCACGCCGCGUUCCCGCCGACGGACGGGCACUCUCCGAGUUCGGGUUCGGGAAUAUUAACCCGAUUCCCUUUCGAUGCGAGGCCGGCCGCGUAACUGAUUCGAACUACGGGAGUUCUUCUUCUAACGACGGAUCCGGCGCCUUUCGUGGAAGCUUUCGCCCGCUUCUUAGGACCGACUGACCCGUGCUCGACCGCCGUUGGCACGGAACCCUUCUCCACUUCGGUCUUCGAAGGUCUCGUUCGAAUAUUUGCUACUACCACCGAGAUCUGCACCCGCGGUCGGCUUCACCCGGGCUCGCGCCCGCGGCUUCCAUGCACGCCGCGGCGCCCUCCUACUCGACCGGGCAUCGGAAAGUCGCCUCGCCGGCGAUCGCGCAACCUGUCGCCCGGCCGGUCCGGCAUCGGUCGCUCGCUCCAGCGCCAUCCAUUUUCGGGGCCGGUCGAUUCGGCAGGUAAGUUGUUACACACUCCUGAGCGGAUUCCGACUUCCGUGGCCACCGUCCUGCUGUCUAUAUCGACCGACACCCUUUCGGGGAUCUAAUGGGCGAAGCGUAGGGCACCUUAGCCGGACGUUCGGUUCAUCCCACAUCACCAGUUCUGCUUACCAAAAGUGGCCCACUUGGCACCGUGCAUUCGUCGUCGCAUAACGGCGGCCGCCUCCGAUCGAGAGAGGAGCGGCCCGUUUCGCCCGUUCCGAGUUCGAGAGUAGAUCGAGGCCGUCAACGUCCCCGGGGCCUCCAGUCGUUCGCUUUACCGGACGGAAUUGCGUGUCGUUCUCCCGCUGGCGCCAGCUAUCCUGAGGGAAACUUCGGAGGGAACCAGCUACUAGACGGCUCGAUUGGUCUUUCGCCCCUACACCCGGUUCCGACGAUCGAUUUGCACGUCAGAGGCGCUUCGGACUUCCACCAGAGUUUCCUCUGGCUUCGUUGAUGUUCGCCUGGGGCUAAAUGCAACAGUAACACCUCCACCACCCUGCCCUGUCCCUAGCCAUAUUCAGAUGGCUUUAGUCCCUUAUAUAUAUAUAUAUAUAUAUAUAUAUAUAUAUAUAUAUAUAUAUAUAUAUAUACACAUACAUAUAUUUUUCUUUUAUUUGUUUCAGUCAUUUGACUGUGGCCAUGCUGAAGCACCGCCUUUAGUCGAACAAAUCGACCCCAGGACAUAUUCUUCGUAAGCCUAUCAGUCUCUAUCAGUCUCUAUCAGUCUCUAUCAGUCUCUUUUGCCGAACCACUAAGUUACAGGGUUGUAAACACACCAACAUCGGUUGUCAACUAAUGGUGGGGCGGGGUUGGACAUACAAUCACAAAUACACACACACAUACACAUAUUAUAUAAGAGUCUAUAAAGAUUUAUACAUGGAGAGAAAACCCUUGACAGGACUUCUUAUAUUCUAAAAAGGGCAGUUAACCCAAACCAUAAAUAAAGGGUUCAACUGCCCUUUUAAGCAUAUAAGAAGUUCUGUCAAGGAUCUUCUCUCCAUGUAUAAAUCUUUAUACACUCUUAUAUAUAAAAAUGUGUUAUGUUUUAUGUUUUUAAUAAAAACAGGCAAACCUCUUUUAAUUUUUACCCUUAUGCUUAUACUGUAAUGUGUGUAUAUAUAUACGAUGGGCUUCUUUCAGUUUCUGUUUACCAAAUCCACACACAAGGCUUUGGUCAACCCGAGGCUAUAGUAGAAGACACUUACCCUAGGUGCCAUACAGUGGGACUGAACCUAGAAUUAUGUGGUUAGGAAGCAAGCCUCUUUAUUCCAUUAAAUUGGCCAUAUAGGCCUUACAAAGAGAAGCUUGUGGGCUGGACCCAGACAAGAUGGGAUGAAAUGAAACAAAAUGAUACGGAUGAGAGGGAUGUCGGCGCCCACCGACCAACAAACGCUCGAAAACAAAGUUUCUUACAACAAUUCUCUUUGUCAGGUCCCCAAGCUAAGUGACUUGCCGUCUGCAGACAACUCUGCAUCGACAAGUCGGGGCCAGCAAAGAGGAAAGCAAAUUCUUCCUUGUCAAAGGUCGCUGUGACCUUUGACAAAAAUUUUUCAGUAACUGCCUCCGCAGCCACCUGCGGAGGCCAUAUCGGACUACUUGAGCAGACCGAGUGCACACGGUCUCGGUCACCCAAGCCGUCCAAAAAUUUACUCACCGUCCCUCCCUCGUGAUAAAGGAGGACAAACACCUCCUCUUCACAGGAAGGGACCUCACACUGCUCCGUCAGUGGCACACUUCCCACUGACAGAGCCCUAUCCACAGGUGGAACACAUCCCACCUGCGGCUCCGUCGGCGGCCCAGGAACAUCCGCCGACCGUCCUCUGCUCUUCUUUUUCCUCUUUCUUUUUGAGGCUGCGGGAGCAGGGGGCUGCGUCGACAGACGCGGGGGCUCACUACCCUCCUCCGCCGCCUGAACAUUCUUUGGUGAGCAACCAUUGUUGCUCACCUUUCUUUUUCUUUUCGUGGAGGCAACUUCCUCCACAACUUCCACCGUCUCCCCUUCCAAUGAGGGGGCGGCGGGCACCUUCUCUUUCUCAUGCUCCAGGGUCCCACCACGGCCCCCUGGACAGUUCCUUUUGAUAUGGCCAGGCUCCAGGCACAGGUGACACUUGGAGGGGCGUCCCUCAAGUAUCACCGGGUACCUGUACCCGGCCAUUUUUAGGAAGUCCGGGAACAUCAUGUCUCCUACGGCCACCGGGGUCCACCCAGUCGACCGCGGGAGCAAUCUUCACACUCAAUAGCCUGGGCCUGCUAUCCCUCAGGCCUCACCGGAUGGUCUUCUCGAUCCAUUCCGCCUCCGUGCCCGGGGGCACCCCGCACACCCAGUCUCUUCUUAUCUUCCUCCCACAAUAAGUAGGGAGGAACAAAAUUUCUUCUCUCUCAAGGGGCUCGCUGGCAAAUCUGCCAGCUUCCUCAGGGGUACCAAACAGCAACCAGACCGUUGCAAAUUUGGUCCCCCGUGAAAUAAAUUUUAUAGUUGACAGGUAGUCUGCCAACUCUCUCUCUACUACACUCUUGUCGAAGAGGGCGAUGGCACCACACGACUUAGAAUAGGCCCGUAGUACCACCGUCCUCUUCUCAAGAUCUUUAAUCCACUGUUUGGGUAGGACCACCUCCCACUCCAAAACAGCGGCUCCGUUUGUUUUUGCCAUGUGCAAAAAAGAAAGUCUUAAAAGUUCCCCCAAAAAAGUUCAAAGUUCAAAGGGAAUGUAAAAAAGGUACACAAAAAAAUAAAAUAAAUAUAAAAAAAUAAUAAAACAAAGUAAGUCCAAAAGUUAAUUAAUAGUUCAAAAGGAAAGAAAAAAUCAGGAAGGAUAAACGGAAAAUAGAAAAACGGUUCACACGGCAAAAAUCCAAUCUCCUGGCCAACAGGUAAUCCCGGCCUAAUGUGGAUAGGGUCCUUGCCAUAAAUCUUUUUUUUUUGUCCGGUAAUUGGUAAAUUACUCCAGAAAUUCAAACACUAUGCUGGCUACAACCAACGGUAACUGCAACAGCAAAAGGUUCUAUUCGGGCGAGGAUACGCACCACCAAAAAUGAAUUCAAUGAAUUCUCGAUAUACAAAAACUGCAGCCGCCGAGAGCAGGCGAAAUUGUCCCAGAGCUGAGCACAAUUUACUUAAAAAAUAAUUCACACGCAAUAAAUUAUGCCCAGCUCACAACAAACACCUACCUCGACAACCUUCUCUGUUUUCGUUCUUCGUUCUUUUUUCUUUUUAGGACGGAGCUCAAAGCUCACGGCCUCACUGUUCAACCGGAAGCAAGCUUCUUUCCACACAGCCACGCCUGUGCCUGUAUACCUUAUUAUUAUUGAAGCUGCAAAGAAGGCGGUGAGCUGGCAAAAUCGUUAGCGUGCCAGAUGAAAUGCUUACCGGUAUUUUGCCUCUUGCUAUGUUGUAAGUUCAAAUUUAGCCGCGGUCAACUUUGCCUUUCAUCCUUUCGGGGUUGAGAAAUUAAGUACCAGUGAAACACUGGAGUCGAUGUGAUUGACUAGUCCUCUCCCCCAAAAUUUCAGGUCUUGUGCCUAUAAUAGAAAGGAUUAUUAAAGCUGCGAAAACAUCACAAAAAUAUCCCCCCACAAAACUGCUACUCAUGUUUCCUUUCGUUAGAUUGUUUAGAUUGAGAAUGGGACAAAAUAAAGUUUGUAUGUAUAAAAUUUACAAUUUAUAUCGACAGAUACACAUUUGAAAUUGGCUUCUUUUCAUUAGUCCUUUUGACUAAUAGUCUUUUUGUGAUAUUUUUGAGCUUUAAUAAUAAUAAAGCACAUUACUCUACCUCCAGUAGUCGAGUACUAUUUUUCCCUACCCUAUUUCACAUUUAUGUGCUUACUUUGGUAUAUAUAUAUGUAUAUAUAUAUAUAUAUAUAUAUAUAUAUAAACAUUUGUUUACUGCCCACAAGGGGCUAAACAUAGAGGAGACAAACAAGGACAGACAAAGGGAUUAAGUUGAUUAGAUCGACCCCAGUGUUUCACUGGUACUUAAUUUCUCAACCCCGAAAGGAUGAAAGGUAAAGUCAACCUCGGCGGAAUUGAACUCAGAAUGUAACGGCAGACGAUGUGAAGGUCGUGCUUCACCACUUUGUCCCAGGUUUUCCUGGGUCUGCCUCUAAGCAUUUCGGCCGGCGUGCUAACGAUUCUGCCAUCUCACCGCCUUAAUAUUAAUAUAUAUCAUCAUCAUCAUCAUCAUCAUCCUCAUCAUCAUCAUCGUUUAGCGUCCGCUUUCCAUGGUUGGACGGUUCAACUGGGGUCUGGGAAGCCAGAAGGCUGCACCAGGCCCAGUCUGAUCUGGUAAUGUUUCUACGGCUGGAUGCCCUUCCUAACGCCAACCACUCCGUGAGUGUAGUGGGUGCUUUCUACGUUCCACUGGCACAGGUGCCAGACGAGGCUGGCAAACGGCCACGAUCGGAUGGUGCUUUUUACGUGCCACCAGCACGGGAGCCAGGUGAGGCUGGCAACGGCCACGAUCGGAUGGUGCUUUUUACGUGCCACCGGCACGGAGGCCAGUCGGGGCGGCUCUGGCAACGGCCACGUUUGGAUGGUUCUCUUACGUACCACCAGCACUGGUAUCACAGCUACAAUUUCCAUUGAUGUUGAUCGAUUUCGAUUUUGAUUUUGAUUUCGAUUUUCACUUGCCUCAACAGGUCUUCACAAGUAGAGUUUUGUGUCCCAAGAAGGAAAGGUAUGCAUAAGUGGACUGGCUACAUCCCAGGUAGAGGCCACGGGUUAUGGUCUCACUUGUCCUGCCGGGUCUUCUCACGCACAGCAUACUUCCAAAGGUCUCGGUCUCUAGUCAUUUCCUCGGUGAGACCUAAAGUUCGAAGGUCGUGCUUAACCACUUCGUCCCAGGUUUUCCUGGGUCUGCCUCUUCCACAGGUUCCCUCAACCGCUAGGGUGUGGUACUUUUUCACAGAACUAUCUUCAUCCAUUCUCGCCACAUGACCAUACUAGCGCAAACGUCUCUCUUGCAUCACAACUGAUGCUUCUUAGGUCCAACUUUUCUCUCAAGGUACUUACACUCUGUCUAGUAUGAACACUGACAUUACACAUCCAUCGGAGCAUACUGGCUUCAUUUCUUGCGAGCUUAUGCAUAUUCUCAGCAGUCACGGCCCAUGUUUCACUGCCAUGUAGCAUGGCUGUUCGUACACAUGCGUUAUACAGUCUGCUAUUCUUACUCUAGCAAUUACACUUUCAGCACACCCACCCCUGCUACUGACUUGGUCACCUAGGUAACGGAAGCUAUCAGCUAUUUCUAGUUUUUCUCCCGGGAAUGUGGCGGAAGUUGGUCUCUGCGCAUUUUCAGUGUUUAUUGCUCCUGAGCAUCUUCCACAUACAAAAACUAUCUUCCUAGUUAGCCUUCCUUUGACAUUGCUGCACCUCUUAUGUGUCCAUAGCUUACACUUGGUGCAUCUUAUAGAUUUUCUACCUACGCCUUUUCUACAGAUCGAGCAGGCUUCGUUGUUCCAGGCUUGGAAAUUGUUUGCUGUGCGUUUCUGGGAUCCCAGAACAAUUGUCCACAUCAUCAUGUAUAUAUAUAUAUAUAUAUAUAUAUAUAUAUAUAUAUAUAUAUAUAUAUAUAUAUAUAAUAUAUAUAUAUAUAUAUAUAUAUAUAUAUAUACACAAAGUAGUAAAUAAAUGGCACAACUAAGUACCGGUAUUUACUGGAAAUAGCGAAUGCAAAAAUACGACGCUAAUGUAUAGCUUCACCGCGUAUGUAUUAGUAAAAAUGCGUGUGUGCAACAAACUAGAGAAAAACGUCUUACCUCCAGGGAGAACAUCUGAAAGAUGAAAUACCCGGAAAAGGAUAAUGUGGGACCUGCAGGUUUCAGAUUUUACAAGAUAUGACUGCCACCCAUAUCUUAUUCUAUCUUCAUCAGCCAAGCAUAUACCAUGACGAAAUCUACCAUGUUACCACAUUAAUACUAUUACACUCGACUGAAACGCGGAACGCCAACAGUACGAAAAACGGUGAAGAAGCUUCAAUAAAUUAGUAAUGCAAUACAAAGUAUCGCCUUCCAGUAAAGAAUAGCCCGUGAGGGAAAAAUACACAAAAUACACAAAGUAGUAAAUAAAUGGCACAACUCACGGGCUAUUCUUUACUGGAAGGCGAUACUUUGUAUUGCAUUACUAAUUUAUAUAUAUAUAUAUAUAUAUAUAUAUAUAUAUAUGAAGGCGUUUGUGAUUUGUCUACCUUCCUACAUGUAUAUAUAUAUAUAUAUAUAGAGAGAGAGAGAGAGAGAGAGAGAGGUGCAGGUGAUGCGUGGUAAAUAGCUUGAUUACCAACCACAUGGUUCUUUUGGGCUCAGUCCCACUGUGUGGCACCUUGGGCAAGUGUCUUCUGCUAUAGCCUCAGGUCAACCAAAGCCUUGUGAGUGGAUUUGGUAGAAAGGAAACUGAAAGUAGCCCAUCGUAUAUACAUAUAUGUGUGUGUGUGUGUGUGUGUGUGUAUUUAUGUAUGUAUGUAUGUAUGUUUCUGUGUCUGUGUUUGUCUCCCCACCAUUGCUUGAAAACCGAUGUUGGUGUAUUCAUCUCCCCGUAACUUAGCGAUUCAGCAAAAGAGACCGAUAGAGUAAGUGCUAGGCUUACAAAGGAUAAGUCCCGGAGUCGAUUUGUUUAACUAAAAGUGGUAAUCCUGCAUGACCACAGCCAAAUGACUGAGACAAAUAAAAGAAUAAAAGAAUAUAUGUAUGUUGUGUGUGUGUGUGUGUGUGUGUGUGUGUGUGUGUGUGUGUGUGUGUGUGUGUGUGUGUGUGUGUGUGUGUGUAUCAUAUUAAUGUUUGUUUUUUAUGUUCAGUUAUAAUAAUAAAUUAUAAAAUAAUAAAAAAUAACAAUAAAACAAAUUUUAAUUAAUCUGAUGAGUUACUCUAUACUCUUGUACAAAUUUAUAAUUUUUAUACAAGAAUGUUGUUGACAGUGACUUCAAAGUUUUGGCCAGCUAAGCCAUCAUUAGACUGCGAUGCAUUAGAGUUAGUCUUGCCUUUAUACAGUCUCUGUUGAGUUAAAAAUCAACUUUGGGUGUGUGGGUUUGAGUGGGGUGGUGAUUAAGUUUUUUUUAUGGUUGAUUGUUAUGGAAAGGUAUUUUGGAAAAUUUUUAAUUGAUUAAAUCUGAGGUUAUGCUAUUGUUUAGAAUUUAUUUAUGCAUGCAGAACUUUAUAAACAAGCCAGUAGGUGUUUCUCUUUUGUUAGUUGGGCACAAGGUGUGACAGUAUGUUUACUGGUUUUGGUACUAUUGGAUUUAAUCCUUUUGCUUUGGCAAUGUAAAGGUCAAAGGUACAAAACCCAGGAUUUAAGCCCUUAGGGGUUGGUGUAAUGAUUGAGUGAGAUGUAAACUCAUAUAUAUAUAUAUAUAUAUAUAUACAUGAUCCCAGAAACGCACAGCAAACAAUUCCCAAGCCUGGAACAACGAUAUCCCGGCACUGUAUGGACUUCACAAGGACCAUAAAGUAACCACUGACCCUAUAGCAGGACUACCAACAAGACCAGUCUGUGGAGCGAAUAUCGCUAGCAAUUACAGAAUCUCCUACUUCCUCUCAAUGAUCAUACGCCCUAUAAUCCGGAUGUCACCUGAUGUUUGUGACAGCACAGAAGAUCUCCUCAGCAGGAUCAAUGACUGUAAGAACACUUGUGACCUGACAGGAUGUAUGGUGGGUAGCAUGGAUGUGGUAUCCCUAUACCCAUCGAUCGACGUAGAUUUUGCAGUGGAGAAGUGCGUGGAGAUGAUCAACGAGAGCCAGGUGGAGUUCCGUAAUGUCAACACAGAGGAACUGGGCCUCCUACUUAGACUGACAUGUGACAAUGAAUACCUAGAUAAACAUAAUCUUAGUAGUUUCUGCCCCAGUAGAUGUUUAAGGGGUAGACCACCCACAAUUACUUCUAUGGCUAGGAAGACUCAUAUAGAAAGAUGGCGCGGAUGGACCAGAGCCAUACGGAGCCCCGCAAAUGUCCAUCAGCGUUAGUAUCGCUGGUGAUGUGGCCAACCUUUUCAUGGUAUGGUGGGACAGAAGGCUUAAAGAACGCCUAACACAGAACUCCAUACUCGUAAACAUGUACUCUCGCUAUGUUGACGAUAUCAACAUAGUGGUAAAGGUACCCCCACAAGAGAGUACUGUUGAUAUAGUAAUAGAAACUAAUACUAUGGAGAGCAUCCAGCAAAUAGCUAACUCCAUCCACAAGAGUAUUAAGGUCACUAUAUACUACCCCACUAAACAACCCAACCAUAGACUACCAGUACUAGACACAGAACUCUGGCUAGAAAUUGUGAAUAAUAUAAACCAAAUCCUUCAUUCGUACCAUGCCAAACCUAUGGCCUCCAAAUACUUGAUCCACCGGAACUCAGCCAUUGCGGACAAUGCCAAAUUCAAUAUUUUGAUGGCAGACCUCGUCAGAAUAAUGAGAAAUGUGUCACGCAUGUGCGAGCCAACAGAGUUAAAGAGACACAUACAAUAUUUCAUUCACCGCAUGCAGUUCUCAAGUUACAGCCAUAAAGAAAGGAUCAGAGUAUACAAAGGAGCCAUGAAGAAAUUUGAUAAUAUAUUAUGUAAUGAUAGGAAUGUGAUUUGCCCACUCUAUAGGAACAAGUCAUGGAACACUAUAGAAAGGACAAAAAAAGAAAAUAGGGAAGGCCAACUCUUGGUAUGAUAGCCAUAGAGUGUCAUGUUCGUUGACAUCACCCCUGGAGGUGAACUGGCGUACCGCUUUAGAAGGACCCUAGACAAACUUAAGCUAAGGAUUAAGGUUGUUGAAAAGCCAGGCAACCCUAUCAAAUCUAUAAUCGGUAGAACCUAUCCUUUUAGUAGAACACCCUGUACGGAUAAGUACUGUACUGUAUGUAGAUUUAGCCCACAAACAAACUGUAAAGCCAGAAAUGUAGUCUAUAGUAUAAGAUGUAUAGAGGGACGAUGCAGUAACAAGACAACGACAUACGUAGUGGAAACGGCAAGAAGCAUAGGAGAGCGGGUAAAUGCACAUUGGAGAGAAAUCAAGGAAGGUAAAAGCUCAUCGAUUCUGUACCAACACGCCGAACAGGAACACGGGGGAUCAAUCAACAACAUAGAAAUUAAAAUAUUGUCAACACAUAGAACAAAUGCAACAAUCAGACAAAUUACAGAAGCUACACACAUAAUAGAAAACAAACCUAGCCUGAAUGGGAAACUAGAAUGGAACACUAGCACACACCACAACAUAUGACGGUAGAGGAUCCCAAUAAACUGGUUACAAUAUAAAGAAAACCGAAAACAUAAAACAUAAUAAAUAAAAUACACAGAUAAAUAAACAAAUAGAAAUAAAUAACUAUAUAAUUUUUUUUGUUUAAUUUAAAAGAUUUUUUUAUUCAUUAUUAUUAUUAUUACUAGUAUUGUUGUUAUACAUACAUGCAUACAUACAUACAUUCAAGCAUAUGUAAUGAUAAUAAUAAGUGGAUGUAAACACAUGAAUAAAAUAAGAAUAAACAAAAACAACAACAACAAAAACAAAUUACAUGAACGUAUAGGUGCAGGAGUGGCUGUGUGGUAAGUAGCUUGCUAACCAACCACACGGUUCCGGGUUCAGUCCCACUGCGUGGCAUCUUGGGCAAGUGUCUUCUGCUAUAGCCUCGGGCCGACCAAUGCCUUGUGAGUGGAUUUGGUAGACGGAAACUUAAGGAAGCCUGUCGUAUAUAUAUAUAUAUAUAUAUAUAUAUAUAUAUAUAUAUAUAUGCAUGUGUCUGUGUUGUCCCCCUAGCAUUGCUUGACAACCGAUGCUGAUGUGUUUAUGUCCCCGUUACUUAGCGGUUCGGCAAAAGAGACCGAUAGAAUAAGUACUGGGCUUACAAAGAAUAAGUCCCGGGGUUGAGUUGCUCGAUUAAAGGCGGUGCUCCAGCAUGGCCGCAGUCAAAUGACUGAAACAAGUAAAAGAGUAAAAGAGUAAAGAGUAUAUAAACAGAAGAUACAAAUAUUACAGGCAUCCCCCCCACACACACACUAAAUAAACAUAGACGCACAUAGUGAUAUAAGCAUGCGCAAAUGAAGACAUGCAAUAGAAAUACAAAAUGGCUGACAGUUAGUAAGGAGAGACACAAAUAAAAAAGAAGAAAACAAAGGACCACUGAUGCGGUCACAGGAGUGUGACGAAAGAACUCUGGCCGAAAUAAGAUUAAGAUUAAUGUAAAAAAUAAAUUACACUGAAGCAAAGUCACACCAAAUAUAUAGUGCGUGUGUUUUUAUUGGCUAAACUGGCAAAAUGACCAUUCCGAAAUAUAACAAUAAAUAAAUAAAUAUAUAUAUAUAUAUAUAUAUAUAUAUAUAUAUAUAUAUAUAUAUAUAUAUAUAGACAUAUAUGUACAAUACGUUCGUAUAUGUAUAUAUACACACACACACACAUACAUAGGUGCAGGUGUAGCUGUGUGGUAACAAACUUGGUUCCAAAGCACAUGGUCCUCAGUUCAGUCCCACUGUGUGGUAACUUGGCAUGUAUCUUCUGCUAUAGCCUCAGACCAACCAAAGCCUUGUCAGUGGAUUUUGUAGACAGAAACUGAAAGAAAUCAAUUGUAUAUAUUGGGUUGGACAGUUUGACUGGUGAGCCAGAGGCUGCACCAGGCUCAGUCUGAUCUAGCAAAGUUUCCACAGCUAGUGAUGCCCUUUAUGUCCCCGUCACUUAGCGGUUCGUGGCCAAAAGAGACCUGGCAGACUAAGUCACUGGGCUUACAAAAGAAUAAGUCCCGGGGUUUACAGUUGCUCGAUUAAAGGCGGUCAGUCUCGGCAGCACUGGCAACGCAGUCAAAUGACUGAAACAAGUAAAGAAGAGUAAAUAAGAUUAAAUUAGAGUAUAUAUAUAUAUAUAUAUUCUUUGGUCAAAGUCUUCCACUACCCUCCUAAUAGUGCUUUGUCUCGCUCUGCACUCACAGGUCAUUCUUCGACACCCAUCCCUUCUCCUCUCUGAUUCCUUCUUUAUAUCUCUCUUAUCUCUAUAUUGCGUUUGUCCCUCCUCUCUCUCUCUCUUCCUUUGCUUCUCUUUCUUUUCUUUUCCAAUACGUUCUCUGUCACGUGACUGUUGGCCGAAAUCUGCCUUUCAGCCUCUGACCCUCGUUCUGUUAACAUCGCUGUUUUCGUCCGCCACUAUAAAGGCUUUUUCCAUUGCGCCAGAGAAAAAAUUUGUUUGCUUGUUAUCAGUCGUAAGACACUGUUGUUUUCACCGUUAAUGCUUCUGUAUUUCAUGUUUCUGUAUUCCAUUAUUGUUUUUUGUUUUUUUAUAUCUGUCCCUUUUGCUGUCCUAGUGUUCGUAUGCAUUCGAUCCUUCUUCCAGGAAAUCUACGCUUCCAGCUUAGUUUUUCUAAUGCUCGUUGCUUGGUUUUUCUUGGAGGGCUGGCCGUGAUCUAGUAAUCUCAAGAUUAAUCAGCCGAAAUUACUACGAUGAUCCGGUUCUUGACUGAAGACUGAGGGUUUCGAAUGUCCUGUCCGUGUUUAUUGUGUCGUCUUCUAAGAGUUAUACGUUCUUGUCCAUGUUGUAUUUUUCUACAUACCUAUAUAUAUAUAUAUAUAUAUAUAUAGAUCGUUUGAGUAUAUAUAUAUAUAUAUAUAUAUAUAUAUAUAUAUAUAUAUAUUCAUCAUCAUCAUCGUUUAAUGUCCGCUUUCCAUGCUGGCAUGGGUUGGACAGUUUGACUGGUGAGCCAGAGGCUGCACCAGGCUCAGUCUGAUCUAGCAAAGUUUCCACAGCUAGAUGCCCUUCCUAAUGCCAACCACUUCAAGAGUGUAGUGGGUAAUUUUUUAUGUGCCAUCGGCUCAAGGGCCAGUUGGGCGGUUCUGGCAAUGACUACGCUCACGCUCAAAAGGUGUUUUUACAUGCUACCUGUACGGGAGUCAGUCCGGCAGCACUGGCAACGACCACACUCAAAUGUUGUUUUUCGCGUGCCACUGUCACGUGUGCCAGUAAGGUGAAGCUGGCAACGAUCAUGCUCAAAUGGUGCUUUUCACAUGUCACCGGCACAGGAACCAUUUCAUGGCCCUGGCAAUGAUCACGCACAGAUGUGCUUUUAACAUUCCACUGGCACGAGUACCAAUCAGACAGUACUUUCAUCGGCCAACAUAUAUAUAUAUUUACAUAGGCGCAGGAGUGGCUGUAUGGUAAGUAGCUUCUUUACGAACCACAUGGUUCCAGGUUCAGUCCCACUGUGUGGCACCUUGGGCAAAUGUCUUCUACUAUAGCCUCGGGUCAACCAAAGCCUUGUGAGUGUAUUUGGUAGACGGAAACUGAAAGAAGCCGUCGUAUAUAUGCAUAUAUAUAUAUAUAUAUAUAUAUAUAUAUAUAUAUAUAUAUAUAUAUAUAUAUAUAUAUAUAUAUAAAAUACACACACACACACACACACACACACACACACACACACACACACAAACAAACACUAGUGGUGUAUAUAUUUCUGCCUUUCAGUUGUAAAAUUGUGAACAAGCGACCCUUAUUAUUUAUAAUUUUCACUUUUUCCAUUUAGGAAAUCAGCGUAUGAUUUCUACAGUAAGCAGACAAGGUGAGUUAAGUUUAAUCCUAGGCGUCAGUAAGAGCCACUGACAAGCAUUACUAAAAAAGCAAGACCACUGGUGAUCUGGCUAUGCCCAGGUAUUGUGGGGAGCUUGCUUCCCUUGUCAGUCAUUAAGAUAAGUGCUCUCUUGUGGCUAUGAGUUGUUUUAAGUCCUAUUUCUAGCAAUACUAGCAUUGACUAGUGCCCUCAGCUACUUUAGUGACAUAUAUAUUUCUGGCUUAUGGUUGUAAAAUAGUGAAUAAGACAACCUUAUUAGCCCACAAGGGGCUAAACACAGAGGGGACAAACAAAUGGAUUAAGUCGAUUACAUCGAACCCAGUGCGUAACUGGUACUUAAUUUAUCGACCCCGAAAGGAUGAAAGGCAAAGUCGACCUCGGCGGAAUUUGAACCCAGAAAGUAACGGCAGACGAAAUACGGCUAUGCAUUUUGCCCGGCGUGCUAACGUUUCUGCCAGCUCACCGUCUUACAAGCGUUUAUCAGAAAAUGGCUUGGUCUGCCGAAACCACUGAAUACAACUGCACAAUAUGGAAAACCCGUGCUGCAACUGCCAAUAACAUCAAUCGCCGAAGAAUAUAAGGCAGGAAAGGCAAGGACAGUAAUGAUGCUAAGGUAUUAAAAAAAAAUGAGCAUCCGGGAAAACCCUCCAAAGGUACGAACAGGGAGGAAAGGGAAGGCAGAAGAGGCAUUAAACAGGGCGAUCGGAAAACUAAAGCACGCAAAUAUAGUCGGAGCGACACAAGAAGCUAGAACCGGUCUAGGGUGGCAAAAUUUCAGGCCAUUUUGCAAGAGCAGUGUAAAAGAGAUGAAAGAGGCAGUGGCAUACGAAGUGAGAAAGGAGGAAUAAGAAAGGCGAAAUGUACAUUUGGUGCAAUGCAGUCAACAGGGACAGUGCCUGAGAUGGUAAGAAUAUGUGAUCAACCGCAGAAUAUCGUGGAAGGAACUUUGGGCUUGGGAACAGGCAAGAACAUCCUUCCUGAUCAAGUCUACCUUCGACGUUCUACCCUCACCGACGAACUUAGUCCGGUGGAACAUAAACAAAACCGAUGAGUGUAGAUGCGGAGAGAAAGCGACGGUUAGACAUGUUCUGUCAAGUUGCAGACUAGCACUUGAAAGAUAUACAUGGCGGCAUAAUCAAGUCCUCGGUGUCAUAAGCGCAGCACUCAAGGAGAAGAUCGAGAGGUACAAUAGGGGAGAGUACCCAAAAGUAGAAAAGCGCAGGAAAGUAUACGAGGGGCGUUCAAUAAGUAACGCCCCUGACCCACUUCCCAUAGCAGUAGAGCAACGAAACUUGGCACGGUUAUUAGUCUUUUUCUACAUAGGAACCACCCAGAGUUAUGCAUUUCUCCCAUCGUUUGAUGCAGCUCUGGAGACCGUUUUUAUAGAAGACCCCAGCUUGGUCCUCCAACCACGACGUGACUUCAGAAAUCAAGAUUGCAUCAUCUGGGAAACGCUUUCCUUUCAGAAACAACUUCAUGGCUGGGAAGAGGUGAAAAUCAGAGGGUGCAAAGUCAGGAGAGAUGGGGGGAUGGGGGAGGAGUUCAUAGCCGCACGCCUGUGCUUCUGAUCUGGCGACACGCGAGUUGUGGACCGGAGCAUUGUCCUGCAGGAGGAGGAUGCCUUUGCUGAUCUUGCCCCGCCUCUUGAUUUUGAUAGCUUCUCUUAAUUUCCUCAAAAGUGAAGCAUAAUAGGCUCCUGUAAUUGUGGUACCCUUUGCCAGGAAAUCUGUCAUCACUACUCCAUCCUGGUCCCAGAAGACUGUGAGCAUGACCUUGCCAGCGGAGGGCUGCACCCUUGCCUUCUUUGGAGGAGGUGAGUCACGGUGCUUCCACUGCAUUGACUGGGCUUUGGUCUCUGGAUCAUCGUGAUGGACCCAGGUUUCAUCGUGUGUAAUCAGUCUUUUGAAAAAUUUUGACACAUCUCCAAAUUCAUCCUCGAGCACUCGACGCGUUCUUGCUUCUGGAAAGGUGUGAGCAACCUGGGAAUCCAUCUGGCAGACACCUUUUGCAUAUGCAAAUGGUCAUGAAUGAUAGUUUCCACAGACCCGGUACUAAUCUUGACCUCAUGGGCUAUUUGGCGAAUAGUUAUGCGUCGAUCUUCCAAAAUGGCAGCCUCAACUUGACGGACAGAUGCCUCAUCAAUGGCAGAAGUGGGGGGCGACCAGAUCUGGGAGCUGUUUCCACAGAGUUCCGACCAUGUUUGAAUUCACGAUGCCAGCGUUUUACAAGGUCAUAUGAUGGGGCAUCAUCACCAUAAGUUACUUUCAUUUCAUCAAAAGUCUCCCGAGGUGUGCGUUCUUUCAAAUACAAAAACCGGAUCACUGCUCGACACUCAACAGGCUCCAUUUCACACUUGACUCAGUUCAAAUUAGAAACCACAAUUAGUUCAGAGCUGUAAUUUGCUACUUAAUCUAUAGAGAUAUAAAUAUUUGCACAUGCAAAAUUUCAGCUAGAUCAAACAACUGCAAGUGGGUCAGGGGCAUUACUUAUUGAACGUCCCUCGUACUUCCACAAGGAGGGAAAAGGUUAUAAAACCAGGCCUACAAGUAAAGUAUACGAGAUAGACGAAAGAUGGAAGGGAUUCUCGGAGGUGGCCACGGA
rnacentral:lncRNA from 1 species